rnacentral:rRNA from 1 species
GAAAUGACUCUCGGCAACGGAUAUCUCGGCUCUCGCAUCGAUGAAGAACGUAGCGAAAUGCGAUACUUGGUGUGAAUUGCAGAAUCCCGUGAACCAUCGAGUCUUUGAACGCAAGUUGCGCCCGAGGCCACUAGGCCGAGGGCACGUCUGCCUGGGUGUCACGC